CGUAACAAGGUUUCCGUAGGUGAACCUGCGGAAGGAUCAUUAUUGAAUAAACUUGGUUGGGUUGUUGCUGGCUUUUCGGAGCAUGUGCACGCCUAGCGCCAUUUUUACCACCUGUGCACUUAUUGUAGAUUUGAAAACACCUUCUCGAGGCAACUCGGUUUGAGGACUGCUGUGCGCAAGCUAAGCUUUCCUUGCGUUUUCAAGUCUAUGUUUUUAUAUACCCCAUAAGAAUGUUUUAGAAUGUCAUUAAUGGGCUUUACUGCCUCUAAAUUAAUACAACUUUCAACAACGGAUCUCUUGGUUCUCGCAUCGAUGAAGAACGCAGCGAAAUGCGAUAAGUAAUGUGAAUUGCAGAAUUCAGUGAAUCAUCGAAUCUUUGAACGCACCUUGCGCUCCUUGGUAUUCCGAGGAGCAUGCCUGUUUGAGUGUCAUUAAAUUCUCAACCUUUUCAGCUUUUGCGAGUUGAAUUGGCUUGGAUGUGGAGGUUUGCAGGCUUCUCAGAAGUCAGCUCCUCUUAAAUACAUUAGCGGAACCUUUGUGGACCAGCUUUGGUGUGAUAAUUAUCUACGCCAUGGCCGUGAAGCAGCUUUACAUGGGGUUCAGCUUCUAACCGUCCAUUGACUUGGACAAUUUCUGACAUUUUGACCUCAAAUCAGGUAGGACUACCCGCU
rnacentral:rRNA from 1 species